AGAAUGAACGCUAGCGGCGUGCCUAACACAUGCAAGUCGAACGAGAAAGUGACCUUCGGGUCAUUAGUAAAGUGGCGAACGGGUGAGUAACGCGUGGGUAACCUGCCCUCGAGUGGGGGAUAACUCGGCGAAAGCCGUGCUAAUACCGCAUAACAUCCUCGAAACCUCGGUUUGGGGAUCAAAGGUGGCGAGCUUCGAGCGCUACCGCUUGAGAUGGGGCCUGCGUCCCAUUAGCUAGUUGGUGAGGUAAUGGCUCACCAAGGCACCGAUGGGUAGCCGAGCUGAGAGGCUGAUCGGCCACACUGGAACUGAGACACGGUCCAGACUCCUACGGGAGGCAGCAGUGGGGAAUUUUGCGCAAUGGGGGAAACCCUGACGCAGCGACGCCGCGUGGGCGAUGAAGGCCUUCGGGUCGUAAAGCCCUGUCAAGUGGGACGAACCGCAUGAGCUCUAAUAUAGCUCGUGUCUGACGGUACCACUGGAGGAAGCCCCGGCCAACUCCGUGCCAGCAGCCGCGGUAAUACGGGGGGGGCGAGCGUUAUUCGGAAUUAUUGGGCGUAAAGGGCGUGUAGGCGGCUUCGUAUGUCUCUUGUGAAAUCCCUCGGCUCAACCGAGGAACUGCAGGAGAAACUGCGGAGCUCGAGUCCGGGAGAGGAAAGCGGAAUUCCCAGUGUAGCGGUGAAAUGCGUAGAUAUUGGGAGGAACACCAGUGGCGAAGGCGGCUUUCUGGACCGGUACUGACGCUGAGACGCGAAAGCUAGGGGAGCGAACGGGAUUAGAUACCCCGGUAGUCCUAGCUGUAAACUUUGAACACUUGGUGUGGCGGGUAUCGACCCCUGCCGUGCCGAAGCUAACGCAUUAAGUGUUCCGCCUGGGGAGUACGGCCGCAAGGCUG
rnacentral:rRNA from 1 species